ACUUUCUGCCCUUUUUUGCGCUGUUUUCUCUUUUUCCCUUCAUAGCUGUGUGUCUUUGCUAUUUGCAUUACUCCAUUGCUUUGUGCUUGUUUGUGUUACUUUCUCUUCUACUUCCCCCUUUUUACUCACUCUGAGCAUUUUAGUGUCUUUAAAAGUCUGUGUCUCCCUCUCUUACUCUAAUCUUCUCUUGGCUAUGCUAUUUCUUUGUGUGUGUGCCUAUGUGCGUGUGCCUAUGUGCGUGCGUGCGUGCGUGCUUGUGUGUGAUCCCCUUCCCAAUAGGCACAGAAUCUCACCAGUGGAGCUGUUCCUCAUGGCAGACUGACAGCACUUCGGUCAGGAUUGAAGCAGAACUGAAAUAAACACAUGAAAAGGCCCAAAGUGGAAGACAGAUGUUUUGUGACUUGCGACUUAAGGACCAAGGAACACAGAAGGCCUAUCUGAGCUGGCUGGAUGGACAGAGAAUGCUGACAACCCAUAGGAGAGAGGCUGCUUUUCUACAGGAUGGACCCAUAUGAAGUCUAAGAACUGAGACCUGCGUCAUAAGACACAAAACCCAAGCUAAGUCCAAGCUCAAGACCUAAGGACUCAAGCCUAUAUGGAUAGAGACAAAGGCUAGAAAUUGGAGGCCUACGGCCUAAAACUCUGGAGGGAUAGAAUCCCCAAACCAGGGGAAAUCUGAAGAUGAGAUCCCCCUAACUUUCAUACUGUUAAACCCUCUUCUCUUGGACAUUCUCAGCGUUCCCUUUUAUUUCUUAGAUUUCCAUUUAAGCCAGAUUUGCUUGAGGUGUACAUUUCAAUGUUGUCAUUUACUAUAAAGGGACAAGCUUUUAGAAUGAUAGUAUUGUACAGGCGUCAAUCUAUAGUCUGUUUUAAACUUGAUUUAUCCAUUUGUUAAUUUUUUUAAUGUUUUCAAACUUCCAUUUCUCUUCACAUCUGCUCCAUGUGAGAGAGAGAACAAAAUCCAGCCAGUAGUUUCUAGUUUGACUUUCGGUAUUCCCCUAGAAGCAAGCAUCCAUACAGAUGCUGUACUUCUUCUGUCCUCCCUAACUCAGAAGCCCUAAUAUGAGGAAGGAAAGCAUCAGACUGUUAGAGGAGAACAGGACCAGGCUAUCUAGAUAAAUAUGAAGACCUGCUUCAGACCAAUGAGAAGAAUUAGACAAGCAAUACGCAAGUGUGCAGACUUUCUGAGAAGGAUCAGCCAGCAUCACCUUCCUUCUUUGGGCUUAGGUCAGCACGUUUCUGCCAUCAACAUGACUACCGAUUAAGCAAAAACAAGGAGCAUCUUAAUUAUCAUCUGCUUUGGUUGCAUAAACGAACUUGUAAAUAAAUCUAUUGAUGUUAAAGACAAUAUCGUCAUCUUCCCAACCAACUAUAAAAGAGUUCUUAUACCAAAAGGCAUGGAAGAUACUUGGACUUGUGAGCUGA